GACGAACGCUGGCGGCGUGCUUAACACAUGCAAGUCGAACGGAAAGGCCCUGCUUUUGUGGGGUGCUCGAGUGGCGAACGGGUGAGUAACACGUGAGUAACCUGCCCCUGACUUUGGGAUAACUUCAGGAAACUGGGGCUAAUACCGGAUAGGAGCUCCUGCUGCAUGGUGGGGGUUGGAAAGUUUCGGCGGUUGGGGAUGGUUUCGCGGCUUAUCAGCUUGUUGGUGGGGUAGUGGCUUACCAGGGCUUUGACGGGUAGCCGGCCUGAGAGGGUGACCGGCCACAUUGGGACUGAGAUACGGCCCAGACGCCUACGGGAGGCAGCAGUGGGGAAUAUUGCACAAUGGGCGGAAGCCUGAUGCAGCAACGCCGCGUGCGGGAUGACGGCCUUCGGGUUGUAAACCGCUUUCGCCUGUGACGAAGCGUGAGUGACGGUAAUGGGUAAAGAAGCACCGGCUAACUACGUG
rnacentral:rRNA from 1 species